rnacentral:rRNA from 1 species
UACGGGGGGGGCAAGCGUUGUUCGGAAUUACUGGGCGUAAAGGGCUCGUAGGCGGCCAACUAAGUCGGAUGUGAAAUCUCGGGGCUUAACUCCGAAACUGCAUUCGAUACUGCCGUGCUUGAGGACUGGAGAGGAGACUGGAAUUUACGGUGUAGCGGUGAAAUGCGUAGAUAUCGUAAGGAAGACCAGUGGCGAAGGCGGGUCUCUGGACAGUUCCUGACGCUGAGGCACGAAGGUCAGGGGAGCAAACGGG